rnacentral:rRNA from 1 species
CCUACGGGAGGCAGCAGUGGGGAAUCUUGCGCAAUGGGCGAAAGCCUGACGCAGCAACGCCGCGUGCGGGAAGAAGGCUUUCGGGCUGUAAACCGCUUUCAGCAGGAACGAAAAUGACGGUACCUGCAGAAGAAGGAGCGGCCAACUAUGUGCCAGCAGCCGCGGUGAUACAUAGGCUUCAAGCGUUGUCCGGAUUUAUUGGGCGUAAAGAGUUCGUAGGCGGUCGAGUAAGUCGGGUGUGAAAAUUCUGGGCUCAACCCAGAGACGCCACCCGAUACUGCUUGACUUGAGUUCGAUAGGGGAGUGGGGAAUUCCUAGUGUAGCGGUGAAAUGCGCAGAUAUUAGGAGGAACACCGGUGGCGAAGGCGCCACUCUGGAUCGAUACUGACGCUGAGGAACGAAAGCAUGGGUAGCAAACAGGAUUAGAUACCCUGGUAGUCCAUGCCGUAAACGGUGGGCACUAGGUGUGGGUUUCUAUUAACGAAAUCCGCGCCGUCGCUAACGCAUUAAGUGCCCCGCCUGGGGAGUACGGUCGCAAGCUAAAACUCAAAGGAAUUGACGGCUGAGACCGNGCGAGACGACACGAGGAGAG